rnacentral:rRNA from 1 species
ACCGAAGGGGGAAACCGUUGUUCGGAAUUACUGGGCGUAAAGCGCGCGUAGGCGGACCUGCAAGUCGGGGGUGAAAGCCCGAGGCUUAACCUCGGAACUGCCUUCGAUACUGCGGGUCUAGAGUCCGGGAGAGGUGAGUGGAAUUCCUAGUGUAGAGGUGAAAUUCGUAGAUAUUAGGAAGAACACCAGUGGCGAAGGCGGCUCACUGGCCCGGUACUGACGCUGAGGCGCGAAAGCGUGGGGAGCAAACAGG